GAUGAACGCUAGCGGCAGGCUUAACACAUGCAAGUCGAGGGGCAGCACGUCUUCGGAUGGUGGCGACCGGCGCACGGGUGAGUAACGCGUAUGCAAUCUACCCUUUACAGGGGCAUAGCCCGGGGAAACCCGGAUUAAUAUCCCAUGGUACCUAUAUAUAGCAUUAUAUAUUGGUUAAAGCUUCGGCGGUAAGAGAUGAGCAUGCGUCCUAUUAGCUUGAUGGUAAGGUAACGGCUUACCAUGGCUAUGAUAGGUAGGGAUCCUGAGAGGGAGACCCCCCACACUGGUACUGAGACACGGACCAGACUCCUACGGGAGGCAGCAGUGAGGAAUAUUGGACAAUGGGCGAGAGCCUGAUCCAGCCAUGCCGCGUGCAGGAAGACGGCCCUAUGGGUUGUAAACUGCUUUUAUACGGGAAGAAACACUCCCUCGUGAGGGAGCUUGACGGUACCGUAUGAAUAAGGAUCGGCUAACUCCGUGCCAGCAGCCGAC
rnacentral:rRNA from 1 species